UCCCAUCCUCACCAAGGCAUCAUGUCAAGCUACCUGUUCCAACACACAAGGAAAGACAACAAGAAAAGAACAAGUAUUAGCAUAAGCUAAGUGAGUCAAUAUAGUACAAUGUCAAGAGAACACCCAUAUCAUAGAUAGAAUCACACAAAACAUCCACAUACCGUCAAAGACUCACUAACAAGACACACAACAUCACACCUCAUAACAAACAUAGGUUUAGCUCAGUUUAUUUUAAUUCUUCUUUUAGAGCUUCUCUUAUUAGUUACUCUCCUCAACACCACUGUAACUAUUUUAUUUUAUUGAUUCACCGCUUAAAUAUUAAUGUAUAAUAUUUUUUUUCCUCUCUGCUUUACGUUAAUAACUACUCACCGCUCACCGUUGUAUUUAUUAAAGUAUUACCUCCUAUUUAGGGUCUAUUUAUUCACCGCAAGAACCCCCAAAGCAAGACCAUAUUCGCUACUAACGUGACUGACACGAACCAAUACACUAAGUGAGGCGCGACUCUCACCCGUAAUCAUUGCUCCCGGUGCGCUGCGUUCGCUACUCCGACUAUGCACAUACAUGUACAUUCGUUGUCGUUAAGGACUGGUACGAGCGGUGCCAAUUUCAACAGAUACACCUCCCAAAUCCCACGUGAUAUUUGCACUGGUCCCACCGCUUGACCAACAUCACUCCAGUCCCGGUAUACCAAGGUGUACCAAGACCAUGUCCCGAGUGGUUGUCUAGAAAAAACAUUCGGCAUCACAGUUGGCUUAAGCUCUUUAUCCUAUAGGUAUCUUUCAACCCACUAGGUCAUCAUAAUAUCUGGAUUGGGUAUUUACCUAUAUCUAGGUUUCUACCCUUUGCCCCGCUAAUGUGUUCCCCUUUUCUAAUUUAAUAAUGAUUAAUUAAAUAAGGAGUUACACUUUACCCUUUCAAGUAAUCAUGUAAAUAUUAUGAAUUUUCUUUUAUUAACAUAUUACCUCUUUAAGGGUUAUUUUCAUGCAAACAUGUAAUUUCAUGAAGUUAUCACAUUUUACAUCACACACUACUUUCAUACAUAACACAUCUAUAAAGUUGAUACAAUACUAACAUGCUUGUCCUAAAACAUUGUAAACAAAUAUUUUCAAACAAGAAUUAACAUGCUCACAUAAUGUUCAUACACUUCACUCAAUCUAGCAUGACCCUAGAUCACAAAUCUCACACCAAAAAAGGAAGAGUCUAGCAUGCAACACCCUAGAUAUCUUUACACAUAAAACAUUUCAACAAUAAUGGCAUAACAAUCAAUCAUCAAAGGGGGCACAUGCAUCCUAGGUAACUAGGUUCAUCCCAAACCAUCUAAGAUAUGGGAUACUCCUAACAAUGUACUUUUAAAACCACAAGUUGACUCACCUUUGCCAAAAAUGUGACCAACUCACACUUCAAAUAUUGUAUUGGUUGAAGUAUCAACCUUGCCCCUAUUACAUUUCAAAUAACAAGGUUAUUGGAGUUCUACAAUGCCAAAGAUGAUAAAUUUAUAAGCCAAACACAUAAAUCAACUAGCAAGUAAAAUUCCCAGUUUUGGGACCCAAAAUAGCCACCUGUUUAGAGCUGUUUUAGCAAACUUAGAACCUGUAUAACUUUCGUUUUUAUUUCAUAUUACUGAAGUUCAGACUUUUAGCUUUUCAGAAUGUACUUUUUAAGGUCCAAACGAUUUUUCUACAAUUUUAUAUGAUUUUUACAAAUCUGCCUAACAAUGCAGCUAAAUUCUGACCAGCCGGUGAAAAAGGCGAUUUUCACCUAAAUUAGAAACAACAACAGGUUCUGGAAAAAUUCAUGGAUAAAAUAGACUCAAAAUGAAAACUUUGAGAGUUUACAGAUCAUUAAUUCGGUUCCUGGUUAUUUUUAUAUAAUUUUCCAACACAGGGACAGAUUGGUAAUUCUUGCUGAAUUUUCCAGCUUUGGGUUUCAAGGGCUUUUUGACCACUUAACACAUUAAGCCAUCACUAAAAACACCUAUAAGUGUAAAAAUUAACCUCUUAACAGAAAUAGCAUGAUUUAAUCAUAGAAACAUAUCCACUUGAUUCAUGGUGGAAAUUAACAUAAGUUUUAGAAAUCAACAAGAAGAAUUGUGACUCCAAAACUUUGAUCAAAACAUAAACUUGAGCAAUAAACUUAAUGAAGGUGUUCAUAAACAAUUUUGACAGCAAUAAACCAUCAAAAUUACACCCAAUAGAACUAGAAUUAAACAUAUGAACAUUCAAAGAUUGUAAGGAAGAAGAUGAUAUGAUCAAUAACACCAAAAAGAAAGGAAUUGACUAUGCUAUUAACCAAUUCUCAUCAAUUGAUGAAUGAAUUUCAAAAGAAAAGAAUCAAAGACAUACCAAGGACGAUUCCUAGCCCCAAAUUGACUCACAAAACUCGCAGCCCUUUUUCCCCUCUCCUUCACGUUCGGUUUUCUUCUUUUUCUUCCCUAGCAAUCGUCGAUGACUACUUCACGCCUAAAUAUGAUUGAUCGUUUUUUUUUCUCCUUGUUACUUGACACACAACAUAAACAAUUGGGGAAAUUUAUUUUGAUCGAUUGAUAUGGCCCCAAGACAUCAAAACUGCUAAUCCGCAUAAAGCCCCUUAAUCACGUCCAAUGUAAUACAUAGGGUUUUUAAUGCCAUUUUUCCAAUUAAGUCCCUAAACUUCCAUGAUUAAAUUUCAAACACCUCUAACCCUAACAACAUAACAUUUUUAGUUUCCAUUUAUGACACAUUGGCCCUCAACACCAUUUACCCUAAUAAAACUAAUUACAUUUUAACCUAAUAACUUCAUGAAUCAGUUUAAUUAAAUUAAACAUUUUUUUUAUUUUAAUUAAUUCUUUUUCGUAUUAAUUAACAUCAUUUUUUUAAUAAUAACAAUUACCACCUAUUUUUGAUUUGUAAUCUAGAAUCGAAAUAAUCUUUAAGAAACUAAAUAUUUGACUAAUGGAAAAACUAACAUCUUUAACAAAUGAAGUUUCGGGUCGUUACAAUUCUCCCCACCUUAAGAAGAUUUCGUCCCGGAAUCAGGAUUCGGAAUGAACAACUGUGGGUAACGAGCCCUCAUGUGAUCCUCAAGCUCGCAUGUCAUAUCUCCACCAUGCUUAUUCUUCCAAAGAAUCUUCACAUGUUUCACCCUCUUCAUGCGCAACUACUUGGUUUCACGCUCCAGUAUAGUUGGUGGUUCCUCAACCAACCGCUUUGAUUCAUCCCCUCUUAACUCAUCUAAUGGCAGUACACUGUUUUCCUCCGCCAAACACUUCCUCAGGUAGCAAACAUGGAAUACAUCGUGAAUUCCCGCCAGCUCGGGUGGUAACUCUAACCUGUAGGCUUGGUCUCCGACUCGUUCCAACACCGCAAGUGGUCCGAUGUAGUGUGGUCCCAACUUACCUCGCUUGCCGAACCGAAUAAUACCCUUCCAAGGUGAGACUUUUAAGAUUACUUUCUCGCCCACCUCGAAAGUUUUCGGUCGAUGCUUCCUGUCUGAGUACUUCUUCUGACGUUCACGAGCCACACGCAACCUCUCACGUGCUUUCUUCACUUUAUCCUCUGUAAUCUGCACUAUUUCGGAGCUUUCAUAUUGUUUUUCUCCUGGCUCCAACCAACAAGUAGGUGUACGACACCUUCUCCCAUAAAGCAUUUCAUACGGAGCCAUGUCAAUGCUAGCAUGGUUGGUGUUGUUGUAAGCAAACUCCACCAAAGGUAAGUAAGUAUCCCAACACCCUCCAUACUCAAUAACACAUAUACGUAACAUAUCCUUGAGAGUCUGGAUAGUCCUCUCACUUUGCCCAUCAGUCUGAGGGUGAUAAGCUGUAUUCAAAAGCACCCUCGUACCCAAUUCCUCCUGUAGUUUCUGCCAAAACCUUGAAACAAAACGACUGUCCCGGUCAGAGAUUAUGGAUAAUGGUACAACAUGUCUUGUAAUAAUCUCCUUGAUGUACAUCUUCGCCAACUCCUUCAAAUUUUCAUUCUCUUUGGUUGCCAAAAAGUGCGUGCUUUUCGUCAAUCUGUCCACAAUCAGCCAUAUCAUGUCAUUGCCUCGAGAGGUUUUUAGGCAGUUUUGUAACAAAAUCCAUCGUAAUUUUAUCCCAUCUCCACUUUGGAAUCUCUGGUUGUUUUAAUGCACCAUAAGGCUUCUGGUGGUCAGCUUUAACUAAAGCACAUGUCACACACACUCAACUACAUAUUUUGCUACCUCCCUCUUCAUUCCUGGCCACCAAUAAUUGACUUUGGGGUCUCGAUACAUCUUUCUUGCUCCUGGAUGUAUCGAAUACUUUGAUUUAUGAGUGUCUCGAAGAAAGAAUUCACACACCCCACCCACCUUGGGGACCCAAAGUCGCCCCCAAAAGGUCUUAAGUCCCUGAUGAUCAUCCACCAACAAGGUCUACUGCUUAACCAUAACGUCUUCCUUCAAAUGCUCUUCCUUUAAACCCUCUUCUUGAGCAAAAUGAAUUUUCUCAUAAAAGUCUGGAACUAUUACCACCCCCAUAGAUUUAAGGUGAUAAGCUCCUCUUGGUUCUUUGCGACUUAGGGCAUCAACUACCACAUUAGCUUUUCCCGGGUGGGAACUAAUCUCACAGUUAUAGUCAGCCAACAACUCUAUCCAGCGUCGUUGUCUCAUAUUUAACUCCUUCUGAUUCUGGAUGUGUUGUAAACUCUUAUGAUCAGUAUGUAGCAUACACUUCAUCCUAUACAAAUAAUGACGUCGUAUCUUAAGUGCAAAUACAACUGCUGCUAACUCCAAGUCAUGUACCGAGUAGUUCAUUUCAGCACUUUUCAACCGGGAAGCAUAAGCAAUCACCUUACCUCUCUGCAUCAUAGUGCGCCCGGGUGUAGCCAAAUCAACCUCAAUUCGAAUAGCCUCAUCCAUGGCAGCCGCCAAAGUGUUGCGCUGCCUCACAAUAGCUCGAUACCCUAGUGGUAACCCCUCGGCAUAAUGUUCCACCUGUUUUGCAUCAGUGGGGCAGUAACUUUUACUGAACUAUAGUUUCUCAGAGAACACUGAAUUAUAUUUUGCUGUCGACAUUGUGCCUUUCUCCAAUGCAAGGAACUCCCUCUCAGCUUUCCUUAUCUGCCCCGGUGGACAGAAACGCUCCUGAAGCUUUUGGCUGAAAACCUCCCAGGUCAUGGCUUGAAUUGUAGCCUCAGGUACAACAGAUUCCAAUGCCUCCCACCAUUGUAGUGCAUCACCAUCCAAUUUCAAUGCUGCAUAACUGACAUUCUAUAAUUCCGUGAAGUCUCCUGAACGGAAAAUCUGCCUCAUCUUACGCAACCAUUGCACACAUAAUGCUGGGUCUUCUCCUUCUUUGAAGACAGGGGGUUUGCGGGCAGUGAAUUCUUUGUAGGGACUACCCCGCCCCUCAACACGUUCUCUAGUGGCUCCCUGCUCCGUCCGCGAGUGAUUGAGCGACUCUCAGCUAUCACCUCUCAUGGCUCCUCAUUCUCCUCUUCUUCGUCCUCGGGUGGUAAAAUCCCUACAUCUCGCAUAGCCUGCUACAUCCGCUCCAUGUCUCGAUCGCGUCUCUGCAACUCUGCAUCUCGUGCCUCAAGCUGCUGCUGAAGGUCAACAAUGAUAGCAGCACUCGCAGUGCUGCGCUCGCUACGGGUUGGCUGGGCCCGUGGCUGACGACCAGUCGGUGGGGUCUGAAAAGCAAACGGUGGCGUCUCGGGUGUACGGUUGUCUUGCCCCACACCAGAUCCUCCAACAUUGACAUUCCCUUCGACGUGCGACAUGUUCCUAAAUAAUAAAGAACUUUAAGCACACAAAACAAUCACACGAAAGGAAAAUUCAGGAAGUUGCAUAUAAUAAUCCUAUAACUCUCAACACACACCCUUCCCCCCUUAAGAAUCCUAGAUCACCUAAUUGAGCCAGUCUACACUAUGAGUCUGAACACCGACCUCUGUAUUCAGUUCACUCACAGCAUGGCUCUGAUACCAACUUGUAACAUCGUGAUUUUUCACCCAAAAUUUUCUUUUUUUUAAACAUUUAUUUAACAGAAUACGUUGCGGAAGACUUAUUAAGUUUAUUUCAAAACAUCACCAAUGUUACUUUCAUGUCAAAACAAACCCAUCUAAAUUUAAAGUUAACAAAAACGUAAUGAUGAAAACCUAACAUGUUUAAAUGGUAUCAUAACUAAAGAUACUAAGGCCCCGUUUGAUAGUUGCUGACUGAGAAAGUGCUGACUAGGAAAGGUCUGUCUGGAUAAGAAAUCCUGACUGAGUAAGAAAUGUUGUUGUUUGAUUGUACAUAUGACUGAAUGUGCUNAUAAAAUUAGUUUUAAUAAAGGAAAUUGUGUUUAUGGUUAAAACCGCAACAUGUCAAACCUAACAGACCAAAACUGACAAGUUUCGGAAGUCUUAGGCCCCGUUUGGUAGUUGCUGAUUGAGAAAGUGCUGACUGGGAAAGGUCUGUCUGGGUAAAAAAUCCUGACUGAAUAAGAAAUGUUGUUGUUUGAUUGUAUAUCUGACUGAAUGUGCUUAGUGAUAAAAAAUAACUAUUUUACCCUUCUGUUAUAUUUAAAGCAAUUUAUCUAUCAUUGAAAUUAACAUCAUCCUAAAUAAUAAUAGAACAAUUAAGGUCAACAUUGCCAACAUAGUUUAUACACAAAAAAAAAGAAAAAAAUUCAGAUUUCAUAGCUUAUAAACAAAAAAAAUCACAACAUUGCCAACAUAGCUUAUAAAAAAAAUCACAACAUUGCCAACAUAGCUUAUACACAAUAUAUAUAUAUAUAUAUAUAUAUAUUCAUAUUUCGUUCCAUACGAACAAUAUCAUCACAACUUUUAGAUUUCAUUCCUUUUGUUUCUAUUUUUUGGUGUUUGGGAAGUUCACUGAGGAUAUGGGGUAUAGAGGUAACAUUGUUCCAGGAGGCUAUGGUGCAAUAUUUAUGUCAAAUUCAGGAACAAAGAAAGAGUGUUUCCAACAUAAGUAUUUUGUGUUUUAUAUAUAAAGAAGACUUUUAUGUUAAGGAUAAGGGUCUCUUUACCCUUGCAUAUUGUAGUAUUCUUUCACUCAUAUACAUAUAAUCUAGAAAUGUUAUCAUAUCUUGUGUAUCCUUUUUAAUAUAAAAUUGUUCAUGUAUAUAAACUUAUGGUAUAAUUCUGUUCCAAAAGAAUAUCUAAAAACUACCCUCCCAGAACUUGCUUGAGAUAUGAUGAUAACUUGGGAAAGGGAGACAAAAGAUAUGGUGAUAAUAGGAAAAAGGUUAGAGAUGGGAUUAAGCACAUUGAAGAACAUGAUCAUGGUUUUGAAAUUAAUGAAGUUCACUGAUUUCAAAGCCAAUUUCUGAUUUAUGAUUUCACAAAUCAUAUACAAAGGAGAAGGAAAAACAAUAUCUUGAUUUCACAGACAAAAAAACGAGGAGGAGAAAGACAAUUUUCUGAUUUCACAGAAAAAAAAACGAGGACCUACCCUGUUUGAUGUCUUUCUCGUGGGAGCUCGAAUCAGAGGGAAGAGUGAGGCCGGUAGUCGAUGGCGGCGAUAGAGGGAGGGAAGGCGACGAUAGAGGGAGUUGUUGAUGGCCGCCAAUUUCGUUGUUGUUUCUCUUUUAGGUCACGAUGGGAAGAAAGAAAAGAGAGGGUAUGAAAGUCAUUUUUUCAGUCAGCAGCAUCUCAAUGUCUUACCGAGAAAUCAUAUGGUCCAGACAUUGCUGAUUGAGAAAGCGAUUAUCAAACACAUUUCCUUCUUACCGAGUCAGCCCAAAUCGCUGACUCAGUCCCAGUCAGACUACAACAAACAGGCCCUAACUAAGACUACCCAAAAGCUCCCAUCCUCAACAAGGCAUCAUGUCAAUCUACCUAUUCCAACACACAAGGAAAGACAACAAGCAAAGAGCAAGUGUUAGCAUAAGCUAAGUGAGUCAAUAUAGUACAAUGUCAAGAGAACACCCAUAUCAUAGAAAGAAUCACACAAAACAUCCACACACCGUCAAAGACUCACUAACAAGACACACAACAUCACACCUCAUAACAAACAUAGGUUUAGCUCAGUUUAUUUUAAUUCUUCUUUUAGAGCUUCUCUUAUUAGUUACUCUCCUC
rnacentral:lncRNA from 1 species